AGGAUACUCGAUGCCGGUCUAGACUUGGAGCAGUAUGCCAAGUACCUGGACCUGCGGCGCUUUGGAUCCGUCAACCAUAGCGGGUUUGGCCUAGGUUUGGAGAGGAUGAUCCUUUUCGCCACCGGUCUUGAAAACAUUAGAGAUGGCAUUCCCUUCCCGAGGUACCCUGGGAGGGCCGAUCUCUGA
rnacentral:rRNA from 1 species